rnacentral:misc_RNA from 1 species
GAAAUGCGAUAAGUAGUGUGAAUUGCAGAAUUCAGUGAAUCAUCGAACCUUUGAACGCACAUUGCGCCCCUUGGUAUUCCAUGGGGCAUGCCUGUUCGAGCGUCAUUUGUACCCUCAAGCUCUGCUUGGUGUUGGGUGUUUGUCCCCGUCUCCGCGCGUGGACUCGCCCCAAAGUGAUUGGCAGCCGGCGUACUGGUCCCGGAGCGCAGCACAUGUCGCGCAAACGAGUGCCUUGGUACGGCGGCGUCCAUAAGCCCCUCUCUCACGCUCUUGACCUCGGAUCAGGUAGAGAUACCCGCUGAACUUAAGC